CUGUAGAGUGUUUACGCCAGAACACGCUGCAUCCGAAGUGCCGUGCUGGUGCCUGUGUCAGGACUUGAAGAAGGGCUGCAGGCUUAGUUCAUCUGAACAAGCACGCAACAGCUUCCGAGGUCAACACCUGGUACACAGGGAAUGCUAAGGUUUUAGAAGCAUCACACUCAAAUCAACAAUUCUUUAUGCAUUUUUAAUCAAGUCCUUCAGCCUUGAAAUAAAUCAAAAUGACUAAAAGAAUGAGAUUUUUCUGCUGGAUCGUAAUGAGUUAAUUUCUCCCACCUGCAGCAUUUCCUCCAAAGCAAGCACCAAGUUUAUUUUUACAGCUGAAUUCCCAAAUAACAGAAAGAAGAUACUAAGAAAAAAUGCUGGCUUUAGAAAAGUGGGAAACGAGCCUUAAUUCUUCUAAGCUACCUGAAAUAAUUUCCAGGUGAGAAGACAGCAUUGGACUCCUUAUACUGAUUUUAAAUCUUCUCCUAUUUACGGCUUUUCCA
rnacentral:lncRNA from 1 species